UUUAAAAUAGGGAAAUUGCCACAAAUACCACUUUCAAUGUACCACUUUUCAUUAAUACCUUAACCAACUUUACCAUUAAAAUUUUAAUAGGCAAAAUACAAUUAUACCCCUAUCUAAUUAAAACUACAAUUAUUAUCUUCUUCUCCACUAUCCGAUAAUCAAUCCGACGAGAUCCGGUGAUUCUGACGAGUUUUCCGGCGAGCUUUGACAACGAAGACGAGUUCUCUUGCGAAAUCUGACGAUGCUGAUGAGUUCUCUGGCGAAACACGAAUGAGACGAUCUCUCUCCUGAUGCUGAUGAGUUUCCGGUGAGAUCUGACGACGCUAACGAGUUUUCCGGCGAGAUCUGACGAUGCCGAGAAGUUCUCCGGCAAAGCUGACAGACUCGACAAGCUCAGACGAACGAGACGAUCUCUCUCCCAACGCCUAAGAAACACUAACAAAGAUAAGAUGAUAGUAUAUGGUGAUUUUUGCCUCUUUCUGUAAUUUUAGCUUGAUUUAUCAAAACAGAUAUGUUUCUAAGAAAGAAGACGAAGUUUUUCAAGUGAAGUUUUCAGAUCUCAAAUUUAUAAGAUCUUAUAAAUUGGGUCCUUUCAAAUCUUACUGUUGAUCUGUUAGCAAUCAAAAGACACAAAGCUUAACGUAAGAGUACAAUUAUUGAUUUGGUUGAUUUAUUGUCAUAGUUUUCAGAUUUAUAUAAUUAUUUAAUUCAUGAGAAGGUACUAACCUAAGAGUAUAAUUAUUCCAUGAUUACUUCUUCUCUUGGUUGAUUUGGUGAUGUUGCAGAGAAUUACAAAUGUGUGUUGUCAGCUUUUGGAUUUAAAGGAUGUUGUGGAGAAUAUGUGUGGUGAUAUGCAUAUCUAAGUAUCUCACUUCCUUAAGAAGCAGUGGAGAUGAAGGAUGAGUUUGUUGAGUUACGAAAGCAUACUAUUUUUGAAUCUUAUUUUUGGAAGUGAAUGCUGAUGCGUAGAAAUAAUAUGUGACUGGCUUUUGUUCAGAUUUUGAAAAUUUACGAGGUUGGUGAGCUGUUUGAAGAGGCAAGAGAGACUCUGAAGAAGAAUGUGGUUUGUGCUAUCAAAGAAUUACGUAUUUAUAACGCUUUAUAAAAGUUGCAGAGUUGGCUUCUUAGUACAUUCUUCUCUCUCAUCUUCUUUAGACAUCUCUUAUACUAAAACAAUUGUAUCUCUCUUUUAGUAGUUGCAUAGUUGAAGAUAUUAGUUGGACAUGUAAGUGAGUUGUGUUUCAAUUGUUUCUUUUAUAGAAGAGUGAGAUAUGGAGAAGCCUUGAUGUUCUCAGACUAUGUUAAAGCAAUAUAUCCCUUGUU